GAAGAGAGCGCUCCAGGUGCUCCGGGAAUUCAAGAUCUCAAAGCUAGCAUCCCACCCCUUUACCUGGCUCUCCGUUCCUAUUGACCACUGUCCAAGAUCACAGCCACGGAAGUGUUUUAAGAGCUGCAAUGGCAGCUCCGGGCGCACCGCCACGGCCUCAGCGGCACUGUCCGCAGCUGCGCACCGGGCUCGGGCAGCAGUCUUUACGGUAACGGGAACUGAGACGAGGGGCGGUACUUACGGUAACGGGGGGAGUGGCCAGGCGGCGGUAUUUACGGUAAGGGGGCUGGGCCGGGCUCGGGGCUGCCGGGCCAGCCCGAAGUCCGCGUUGUCAGGUGAUCUACUGCCGAGGCGGUCGCCGCCCCCUACACCAACGGAAAACGCGGAAUGGCUUUCGGGGGCAGUGAGGGGCCGGAGACCCGCCUCAUCCGUGCCCCCCGGCCUGCAGGCUGCAGCGCCGCGCCGGGUCCGCGUGCAGCCCCCUCCCGUCCCUCGGCUGGGGUCCCGGCGUGAGCCCCACUCCCCGCGCCCACAUGGGGCUGUGCCACAGCCUCCGGCCGCUGCUCUUCGGGGACCCGGAGCCGCCCUUGGAGGGGGCGCGGUCCGGCCCAGACCAGACCCCGGACCCGGACCUGAACCCGGUCACGACCCCGGUCCGGACCCCGGCGGGGGCAGGCGCGGCACGGACCCCCGCGCAGAAAGAGAGGCGGCGGCGCGCGGACCAGCAGCGCGCGGAGGAACGCGAGGCCAAGCGGGUCAGCAGGAGCAUCGACCGCCGGCUCCGCGAGCAGAAGCGCGACCUGCGGCGGACUCACCGGCUACUGCUGCUCGGUUCGAGCCUGGUGCCGUCGUAAUGUUUGCUCGUCCUUCAGAAACAUUCGCUGUGCCACCUGCACACAAGAAAAUGGGCACACCACCACCGGUGCUUGAAGGUACAGGCCGCGUCGUUUGCUGGCAUUUCUCAGCGAGCGGAACAGUCUUUCCCGUGAACAACUUGGAGACGUUCUCUGUGCUCUCAAAGCCUGGGUUCCUCAUGCUACUUGUGGUUUUUAAAGUUUAGGGGGGAAAAAAAAGAAAGACGUGGGCUUCUGACCCCAAUUUUGUGACCUAUAAGGAAGAAUAAUUGUUGAGUUCUGUGCCCUCCUGGGCACAAAGAAAGAACCCGGCCCACGAUGGCGGAAGAUCCCUGCUUAUAAAUGAGACUUGUCUUUAAGAUCUCGAGAACAACUAAGUCUUCGGUUUUGAAAGGGCUCACCAUUGCAAGAAUGAAUAACUAAAACAACACAAACCUAGCUGCUGUAUCCGGUGAAAUAUCUGAAUUCUAACAUAAAGGGACUUUUUUUGGAGUAACAAAGAACAAGAAAUAUAGAAGUGAUCAGGUUACCUGAAAAGGGAAGAGGACACAUCAGAAGCAGAGUUAUCUACAGUGCUAACUUCUGGAUCAGGGCAGAACAAUGUUUCCAGGGGUCUGAAAAUACAGAAUCGUGAUCCUCGAACUUGGUACCUCGUUAAACCACUAUGUGUGUGUGUUUGUGUGUGUGUGUGUGUGUGUGUGUGUGUGAGUGAGUGAGUGAGUGAGAGGGGAAAAUAGAUUUCCAGACACAGAAGUGCUCAAAGUACAUCCCCAACCACGUAUUCUUCUGGAAAGAAAACAGAAAUUACUCCAGCCAAAUUUCUUUUAACGCACCAAAUUAAAAUAACUCAAAAAGGAGAGAAUUGUGGUCUCAAGAAAUAAGAGAAAAACAAAUAAGGUCUACAGUUCUGGCAACGUAAUGUUGUUUUAAUGUGAUUGUGCAGCCGGACAGAAGUGUCUAAAAGGAUAUGUGAAGCAGAAGAUGCUCAAUAUAUAGAAAAAAUUUUAAAGUUAACGAUUCUGUGAAAGGGUCCUGGGAGGUGAGAUCUAAAGACUUGAACGGUGAGCGGUUUCUUAUAACAUGUUGAGAGACUGUCUCUUUAAAGACACUGCCUCAGCCUUGUGUGUCAGCAUCAUAUCUGAUGUGAGGCAUAGUCAGGUGACUCACACUUUGGGGGGAAAGUGUCUUGGAUCUUCCCACCAGUGACAGCAAGAGUGCAACACAAACUGUCCUGUCAAGGUGACAUUUAGUCCAGACCAGGUGUCGGUCUAACAGGGACAGUGCAUCCUAGCUUCAUCCCACUGUCACCUUGUGAGAAUGCAGGCCCAGUGUUGCUGGCUGUUGAAUUUCAGAAUAAGAGGGAAAUGCUCAUUUUCAUCUGAAACCUCCUUACUUUUAACCAUUGGCUCAAAUUAAUAAAACAGUCUGUGUGCCUGCUGUGGCCCACAGGCCACCAAGUCUCACCUCGGUCGGAUCUCUCCCAAGCUAGAGGGAC
ensembl:lncRNA